rnacentral:rRNA from 1 species
UGGGGAAUAUUGCACAAUGGGCGCAAGCCUGAUGCAGCCAUGCCGCGUGUGUGAAGAAGGCCUUCGGGUUGUAAAGCACUUUCAGCGAGGAGGAAGGGUUCAGUGUUAAUAGCACUGUGCAUUGACGUUACUCGCAGAAGAAGCACCGGCUAACUCCGUGCCAGCAGCCGCGGUAAUACGGAGGGUGCAAGCGUUAAUCGGAAUUACUGGGCGUAAAGCGCACGCAGGCGGUUCGUUAAGUCAGAUGUGAAAUCCCCGCGCUUAACGUGGGAACUGCAUUUGAAACUGGCAAGCUAGAGUCUUGUAGAGGGGGGUAGAAUUCCAGGUGUAGCGGUGAAAUGCGUAGAGAUCUGGAGGAAUACCGGUGGCGAAGGCGGCCCCCUGGACAAAGACUGACGCU